rnacentral:rRNA from 1 species
GCCAGCCGCCGCGGUAAUACAGAGGUCCCGAGCGUUGUUCGGAUUCACUGGGCGUAAAGGGUGCGUAGGUGGUGAGGUGUGUCGGAUGUGAAAUCUCGGAGCUCAACUCCGAAACUGCAUUGGAAACUACCUUGCUAGAGGGUUGGAGGGGGGACUGGAAUACUUGGUGUAGCAGUGAAAUGCGUAGAUAUCAAGUGGAACACCAGUGGCGAAGGCGGCUCUCUGGCCUGUUACUGACGCUGAGGCGCGAAAGCGUGGGGAGCGAACGGGAUUAGAUACCCCGGUAGUCCACGCCGUAAACGAUGGGUGCUAGGUGUAGGAGGUAUCGACCCCUUCUGUGCCGUAGUUAACACAAUAAGCACCCCGCCUGGGGAGUACGGCCGCAAGGUUGAAACUCAAAGGAAUUGACGGGGGCCCGCACAAGCGGUGGAGCAUGUGGUUUAAUUCGAUGCAACGCGAAGAACCUUACCUGGCCUUGACAUGCAUAUAGUAGAAGGGUGAAAGCCUGACGAGGUAGCAAUACCAGUAUGCACAGGUGCUGCAUGGCUGUCGUCAGCUCGCGUCGUGAGAUGUUGGGUUAAGUCCCGCAACGAGCGCAACCCUUAUCAUUAGUUGCUACCAUUAAGUUGAGCACUCUAAUGAGACUGCCCGGGUUAACCGGGAGGAAGGUGGGGAUGACGUCAAAUCAUCAUGCCCCUUAUGUCUAGGGCUACACACGUGCUACAAUGGUUGGUACAAAGAGACGCAAGACCGUGAGGUGGAGCAAAACUCAAAAACCAAUCCCAGUUCGGAUUGUAGGCUGAAACUCGCCUACAUGAAGCCGGAGUUGCUAGUAAUCGCGAAUCAGCAUGUCGCGGUGAAUACGUUCCCGGGCCUUGUACACACCGCCCGUCACACCAUGAGAGUUGGCAACACCCGAAGUCCGUGAGGUAACCGUAAGGAGCCAGCGGCCGAAGGUGGGGUCAAUGAUUGGGGUGAAGUCGUAACAAGGUAUCC